rnacentral:rRNA from 1 species
UGGCGGACGGGUGAGUAAUGUCUGGGAAACUGCCUGGUGGAGGGGGAUAACUACUGGAAACGGUAGCUAAUACCGCAUAACGUCGCAAGACCAAAGAGGGGGACCUUAGGGCCUCUUGCCAUCGGAUGUGCCCAGAUGGGAUUAGCUAGUAGGUGGGGUAACGGCUCACCUAGGCGACGAUCCCUAGCUGGUCUGAGAGGAUGACCAGCCACACUGGAACUGAGACACGGUCCAG